GACGUAGGGCGCGAGCGUUGUCCGGAAUUAUUGGGCGUAAAGGGCGCGUAGGCGGUCGUGACAAGUCACUUGUGAAAUCUCCGGGCUUAACUCGGAACGGUCAAGUGAUACUGUCGGACUAGAGUACAGAAGGGGCAACUGGAAUUCUCGGUGUAGCGGUGAAAUGCGUAGAUAUCGAGAGGAACACCUGCGGCGAAGGCGGGUUGCUGGGCUGAUACUGACGCUGAGGCGCGAAAGCCAGGGGAGCGAACGGG
rnacentral:rRNA from 1 species